GGAAGAAGCGGCGGUAAAAUUUCUGCAAGAAUAUAGAAUUUUGCUGGAAUGGUUCUAAAGCGAACAACGAGGAAACUGGUUUCUAGACAGCCACUGGUAUCGAGGUUUGCAGGAAGCCGAGUCUUCGCAGUUCUAACAACUUCUAAGGAAAGGUGCAUUAACCACCCAAUUGCAUCCAAUAAGUAACUUCUACAUUUUCAUCUGCAAAAAAUUGCCAAAUUGCGCCAAGGUGGUUGCAUUAAUAGGUAUUUAAAAAUAUCAUUUAAAAAAAUGCCUUACUGGUGGAUGAUAAUAAUUCGUAUACUGUGUCAUCCUAAAUACCUGGAGCAUAUUCAGAAAACGCAGAGCAGGUGUUAUGGAAGGAUGCGCCGGUAACUUUUCAAAUCAAAAGCGCCGCUCUAUAUCGUAUCUAUAUGUUAUAAUUCUAUAACGCAAAGUAAGUCUUAAAUACCGACGUUACAUACAUUCUUGUAAUGAAUGUUUAUACAACGUGUAAGAAGAGUGUUCUGAAUUAUG